CGUAGGUGAACCUGCGGAAGGAUCAUUACCGAAUUGUCAACACGAGUUGUUGCUGGUCCUCAAACGGGGGCAUGUGCACGCUCUGUUCACACAUCCACUCACACCUGUGCACCUCUGUAGUUCUGUGGCCUGGGAGACCUGUUCCCCUUGCUGUGGUCCUACGUCUUUACACACACACCGUAACAAAGUCUUAUGGAAUGUAUGUCGCGUCUAACGCAAUACAAUACAACUUUCAGCAACGGAUCUCUUGGCUCUCGCAUCGAUGAAGAACGCAGCGAAAUGCGAUAAGUAAUGUGAAUUGCAGAAUUCAGUGAAUCAUCGAAUCUUUGAACGCACCUUGCGCCCUUUGGCUAUUCCAAAGGGCAUGCCUGUUUGAGUAUCGUGAACACCUCAACUCUCACGGUUCGCCGUGAUGAGCUUGGACUUUGGAGGUCUUGCUGGCCUAUGGUCAGCUCCUCUCAAAUGAAUCAGCUCACCAGUGUUUGGUGGCAUCACAGGUGUGAUAACUAUCUACGCUUGUGGUUUUCCACUAGAUAACCUUCAGCAAUGGAGGUUCACUGGAGCUCACAAAUGUCUCUCCUCAGUGAAGACAGAUUUUGAAUGUU
rnacentral:rRNA from 1 species